UUGAUAGAAGCCAAAGAGAGGUGUGUCACUGUUAAUGAUUUUAUUGAAAUUGUAUUUCCUAUCAAU
rnacentral:tRNA from 1 species